rnacentral:rRNA from 1 species
AGAAUUUGAUCUUGGUUCAGAUUGAAUGCUGACAGCGUGGAUGAGGCAUGCGAGUCGAACGAAGUAGUAAGUUUACUUGCUACUUAGUGGCGGAAGGGCUAGUAAUACAUAAACAACCUGCCUUUAACCUGGGGAUAACGGCUGGAAACGGCCGCUAAUACCGAAUGAGGUCAAGAGCGCGAGUGCGGACUUGAUCAAAGUAGGGGAUCUUGAAAGAGACCUUGCGGUUAGAGAGGGGUUUAUGGGAUAUCAGCUAGUUGGUGUGGUAAAGGCGCACCAAGGCUAAGACGUCUAGGCGGAUUGAGAGAUUGACCGCCAGCAUUGGGACUGAGACACUGCCCAAACUCCUACGGGAGGCUGCAGUCGAGAAUCUUUCGCAAUGGGCGAAAGCCUGACGAAGCGACGCUGUGUGGACGAAGAAGGCCCUCGGGUCGUAAAGUCCUUUCGCGUGGGAACAAGAGAAGGUGUAUAAUAUGCAUCUAAUUUGAGGGUACCACGUAAAGAAGCACCGGCUAACUCCGUGCCAGCAGCUGCGGUAAUACGGAGGGUGCAAGCAUUAAUCGGAUUUACUGGGCGUAAAGGGCGCGUAGGCGGAUUGCCAAGUCAACUGUGAAAUUCCGGAGCUCAACUCCGGAGCUGCAAUUGAAACUGGCAGUCUAUAGAGGGAUGGCGGAGAAAACGGAAUUCCACGUGUAGCGGUGAAAUGCGUAGAUAUGUGGAAGAACACCAGUGGCGAAGGCGGUUUUCUAGCUAUUUCCUGACGCUGAGGCGCGAGAGCAUGGGGAGCAAACAGGAUUAGAUACCCUGGUAGUCCAUGCCGUAAACGUUGUAUACUUGAUGUAGUUGGGCUCAACCCUGACUGUGUCGUAGCUAACGCGAUAAGUAUACCGCCUGAGGAGUACGCUCGCAAGGGUGAAACUCAAAAGAAUUGACGGGGGCCCGCACAAGCAGUGGAGAAUGUGGUUUAAUUCGAUGCAACGCGAAGAACCUUACCUAGGUUUGAAAUAUACAGGACAGCUACAGAAAUGUAGUUUCCCUCAUGGGUCUGUAAACAGGUGCUGCAUGGCUGUCGUCAGCUCGUGCCGUGAGGUGUUGGGUUAAGUCCCGC